GUGCUCGCUUCGGCAGCACAGAUACUAAAAUUGGAACGAUACAGAGAUUAGCAUGGCCCCUGUGCAAGGAUGACACACAAAUUCAUGAAGCAGUCAUAUGUUUU
rnacentral:snRNA from 1 species